CGCUGGCGGGCGCCUACACAUGCAAGUCGAACGAGAAAGUGGAGCAAUCCAUGAGUAAAGUGGCGUACGGGUGAGUAACACGUGGAUCAUCUACCUUCUAGUGGGGGAUAACCCUGGGAAACCGGGGCUAAUACCGCAUAAGCUCGAGAGAGGAAAGCAGCAAUGCGCUGGAAGAGGAGUCCGCGGCCGAUUACGCUAGUUGGUAGGGUAAGAGCCUACCAAGGCAACGAUCGGUAGCCGGCCUGAGAGGGCACACGGCCACACUGGCACUGAAACACGGGCCAGACUCCUACGGGAGGCAGCAGUGGGGAAUCUUGCACAAUGGGGGCAACCCUGAUGCAGCGACGCCGCGUGAGCGAUGAAGCCCUUCGGGGUGUAAAGCUCUUUCGGCAGGGAAGAUGAUGACGGUACCUGCAGAAGCAGCUGCGGCUAACUACGUGCCAGCAGCCGCGGUAAUACGUAGGCAGCAAGCGUUGUUCGGAGUUACUGGGCGUAAAGGGUGUGUANGCGGUUCUCUAAGUCUGGUGUGAAAUCUCCC
rnacentral:rRNA from 1 species